rnacentral:lncRNA from 1 species
UUUUCUACUUAAUCUCUCAUUGCUUACUUAUAUUGUAAGUGUGACCAAAUAAACCAAGUACAGAAGCUCAAUUCCCAAGAUGGAGGCCAGCAGCAGCACCUCCCAUGACCCAGCAUUGUUCCAUGCUCCCUUGCUACACCACCCUCGGAGGAGGAGCAGCAGACCCUUAAAGGGUUUCGCAGUGAUAUUUGGGUCCGUCGUUUUCCUACUCUCACUGGUCAUAUUAAUCGUUAACCAAA